rnacentral:misc_RNA from 1 species
AAAAGUUUCAGUAUAUCAUUCUUUACAGUACCAAUCAUAUUUUGAUCAAUAUCUGACGAUGCUAAUGAUACAACACCAGCCAGGGCUUCAAGUGCCAAUCCAGCAGCAUAAGUACUAGACUCAGGAUUAUUAGAACUAUACCGCCACCUUCCAUCACUUUGGCUCAAUGCCUUGAUUGACUGAAAAAUACCAUCAGUGUCCGUAAGUGAUAAAUCAACUCCAGAACUUUGUUCCUUUAAAAGUAAUAAGCUUCCUAUAGAGUAGUAGAACUCGGACAGCGACCGCGCAUCAUUUAGAACAGUUCUAAGUCUUGAAGUAAUGCUCUCAUAUAUCUCCUCCUUAAUUUCACAUUUCAAAACACCGUUGACAUUCAGAGCAUAAAACAGAUCCUUGCAAGUCUGUGUCAGAGGUUCUUGGUUCAUCUGCAGCCCUAAAG